rnacentral:rRNA from 1 species
UGGGGAAUAUUGGUCAAUGGGCGAAAGCCUGAACCAGCAACGCCGCGUGAAGGAAGAAGGCCUUCGGGUUGUAAACUUUUGUCUUCAGGGACGAAUUUUGACGGUACCUGAGGAGGAAGCCACGGCUAACUACGUGCCAGCAGCCGCGGUAAUACGUAGGUGGCAAGCGUUGUCCGGAAUUACUGGGUGUAAAGGGUGCGUAGGCGGGCUGUAAAGUCAGAUGUGAAACUCCGGGGCUCAACUCCGGAACUGCAUUUGAAACUUACGGUCUUGAGUGAAGUAGAGGUAAGCGGAAUUCCCAGUGUAGCGGUGAAAUGCGUAGAUAUUGGGAGGAACACCAGUGGCGAAGGCGGCUUACUGGGCUUUAACUGACGCUGAGGCACGAAAGCAUGGGGAGCAAACAGG